rnacentral:rRNA from 1 species
CCUUUGACGUUAGCGGCGGACGGGUGAGUAACACGUGGGUAACCUACCUAUAAGACUGGGAUAACUUCGGGAAACCGGAGCUAAUACCGGAUAAUACUUCGAACCGCAUGGUUCGAUAGUGAAAGAUGGUUUUGCUAUCACUUAUAGAUGGACCCGCGCCGUAUUAGCUAGUUGGUAAGGUAACGGCUUACCAAGGCGACGAUACGUAGCCGACCUUAGAGGGUGAUCGGCCACACUGGAACUGAGACACGGUCCAGACUCCUACGGGAGGCAGCAGCU